rnacentral:rRNA from 1 species
UUAGAGUUUGAUCCUGGCUCAGGACGAACGCUGGCGGCGUGCCUAAUACAUGCAAGUCGAGCGGAUUUAUCCUUCGGGAUAAGUUAGCGGCGGACGGGUGAGUAACACGUAGGCAACCUGCCUAUAAGACUGGGAUAACUAUCGGAAACGAUAGCUAAGACCGGAUAACUGAUUUUCUCGCAUGAGAAAAUUAUGAAACACGGAGCAAUCUGUGGCUUAUAGAUGGGCCUGCGGCGCAUUAGCUAGUUGGUAGGGUAACGGCCUACCAAGGCGACGAUGCGUAGCCGACCUGAGAGGGUGAACGGCCACACUGGGACUGAGACACGGCCCAGACUCCUACGGGAGGCAGCAGUAGGGAAUCUUCCGCAAUGGACGCAAGUCUGACGGAGCAACGCCGCGUGAGUGAUGAAGGUUUUCGGAUCGUAAAGCUCUGUUGCCCUAGACGAACAGCAAGAGGAGUAACUGCCUUUUGUGUGACGGUAUAGGAGAAGAAAGCCCCGGCUAACUACGUGCCAGCAGCCGCGGUAAUACGUAGGGGGCAAGCGUUGUCCGGAAUUAUUGGGCGUAAAGCGCGCGCAGGCGGUCAAUUAAGUUGGGUGUUUAAGCCCGGGGCUCAACCCCGGUUCGCAUCCAAAACUGGUCGACUUGAGUGUAGGAGAGGAAAGUGGAAUUCCACGUGUAGCGGUGAAAUGCGUAGAGAUGUGGAGGAACACCAGUGGCGAAGGCGACUUUCUGGCCUAUAACUGACGCUGAGGCGCGAAAGCGUGGGGAGCAAACAGGAUUAGAUACCCUGGUAGUCCACGCCGUAA